CUACAGAGGGUGCGAGCGUUAAUCGGAAUUACUGGGCGUAAAGCGCGCGUAGGCGGCUACUUAAGUCAGAUGUGAAAUCCCCGGGCUCAACCUGGGAACUGCAUCUGAUACUGGGUAGCUAGAGUUUUGGAGAGGGAAGUAGAAUUUCAGGUGUAGCGGUGAAAUGCAUAGAGAUCUGAAGGAAUACCAGUGGCGAAGGCGACUUCCUGGCCAAAAACUGACGCUGAGGUGCGAAAGCGUGGGUAGCAAACGGGAUUAGAAACCCUAGUAGUCC
rnacentral:rRNA from 1 species